rnacentral:rRNA from 1 species
AUUGAACGCUGGCGGCAGGCCUAACACAUGCAAGUCGAGCGGAUGAAGGGAGCUUGCUCCUGGAUUCAGCGGCGGACGGGUGAGUAAUGCCUAGGAAUCUGCCUGGUAGUGGGGGAUAACGUCCGGAAACGGGCGCUAAUACCGCAUACGUCCUGAGGGAGAAAGUGGGGGAUCUUCGGACCUCACGCUAUCAGAUGAGCCUAGGUCGGAUUAGCUAGUUGGUGGGGUAAAGGCCUACCAAGGUGACGAUCCGUAACUGGUCUGAGAGGAUGAUCAGUCACACUGGAACUGAGACACGGUCCAGACUCCUACGGGAGGCAGCAGUGGGGAAUAUUGGACAAUGGGCGAAAGCCUGAUCCAGCCAUGCCGCGUGUGUGAAGAAGGUCUUCGGAUUGUAAAGCACUUUAAGUUGGGAGGAAGGGCAGUAAGUUAAUACCUUGCUGUUUUGACGGUACCAACAGAAUAAGCACCGGCUAACUUCGUG